UACAGAGGUCCCGAGCGUUGUUCGGAUUCACUGGGCGUAAAGGGUGCGUAGGUGGUGAGGUAAGUCGGAUGUGAAAUCUCCGGGCUCAACCCGGAAAUGGCAUUGGAAACUACCUUGCUGGAGGAUUUGAGGGGGGAUUGGAAUACUUGGUGUAGCAGUGAAAUGCGUAGAUAUCAGGAGGAACACCGGUGGCGAAGGCGGGUCUCUGGGCAACAACUGACGCUGAGGAGCGAAAGCGUGGGGAGCGAACAGG
rnacentral:rRNA from 1 species